rnacentral:rRNA from 1 species
CAGUAGCCGCGGUAAUACGGAGGGCGCGAGCGUUACCCGGAUUUACUGGGCGUAAAGGGCGUGUAGGCGGCCUGGGGCGUCCCAUGUGAAAGGCCACGGCUCAACCGUGGAGGAGCGUGGGAUACGCUCAGGCUAGAGGGUGGGAGAGGGUGGUGGAAUUCCCGGAGUAGCGGUGAAAUGCGCAGAUACCGGGAGGAACGCCGAUGGCGAAGGCAGCCACCUGGUCCACUUCUGACGCUGAGGCGCGAAAGCGUGGGGAGCAAACAGGAUUAGAUACCCCCGUAGUCCCUGUCUCUUAUAU